GCUCAAGUCCAAAUUCAAAGGACUUGAGCUUUUUAAUUAAUUAUUCAAACUUCCGCAAAAAUUAUACACUUAGGUUUCAUUUAAUCAACGACUUGAUCGGCAUCCAAUCCGACAACGAUAUCAAUUUCAUUAUUGUCUCUAUGUUGAACUUCGUAUGAAUCUACAAUCUUCUUGGAUGGACUCGCGGCCUAUCAGCUUGUUGGUGAGGUAAUGGCUCACCAAGGCGACGACGGUAGCCGGCCUGAGAGGGUGACCGGCCACACGUGGACUGAGACACGGGUCGACGCGGCCG
rnacentral:rRNA from 1 species